rnacentral:hammerhead_ribozyme from 1 species
GCCCUGCUGAAGAGUUCCACAAUAGGACGAAAUGGCCAUCCAGUGA